rnacentral:lncRNA from 1 species
CUUUAACAAAGUUUAAACCUGCCCAUUCCCUGGUGCUGUGGUCGAGUUAGACACACACUCCCACCCCAGUCAGCAGGCUCCUAUACAGGAUAUACUCCGUGGAUGUAAUUCCUUAUAAAGCAUCGUGCGAUGGAUUCCUGUGUCCUGACUCGAUCUAUGGGGAAGAACGAAAUCCCUCAUAACUUAGAGAUUGUUCUGAAGUGAGUGUUUCUGCAACAAACUGUUUGUCUGCCAUCAGACAGAUCGAGCCAGUGCUGUGCACAUCAGUUUAAAUACAAUGUAUGUACAUUGUGUAAUAAAAUAUUUGCGUCGA